rnacentral:lncRNA from 1 species
UGUGAGAAACUCCUUUGAGUGGAUUUUUUUUUUUGAUAAUGGAUAACUCCUUUGAGUGAGUUUUAAAUUCUCUGUUUGUGAUAUGUUUGAGCACCCUGGCUGUUCCAUUUUAGUUUGUUCGGUCUGUCUAGUUUUGUGGUGGGUGAGACAGAGAUAUUAAUGCCAUGUUAAAUGAGAUAUCUGGUGAUAUUGUUGAUUAUGAGAAACCUAGUGGGAUAUACAUGUUUUUCAAGUUGAGAAAACAUAUAACUUUGACAGAAAACUCUACCCGCAGACAAAAGCAUGGUUAAGUAGGAAGGAUAGAGGGUGGGCCCAUUACCGAGUUUUGAAUCGUGUGCGACUAGCCCUCUGCACGCCUGCUUUUAGCUCGUAGUUUCACUCUUGCUUUUGCCUUACCUUCUAUUAUAUUAGUAAAGGGCGAAUGGGGGGCGUGUGCAAUAGUUUUCUUACUUUCUCUCGAUCGCUUCAAUGCCUAUAAUUUGAGAGAUAAGAGGAAAGCCCUCUCUCGAAUUCGAAGAUGUAACACAAAUAAUGACUCUCUUGCAAUAGUUUUCUUACUUUCUCUCGAUCGCUUCAAUGCCUAUAAUUUGAGAAAAUUUCUCAAUCAUCAACAUGAGUAUGGUAUUAAUGUGUAUAAUGUUUUUACACUUUGUGGGUUUUGUCAGCUCCUUAAGUUUUAGAAAGGAUAGAGUGAAGUGCACAUGACAUAUAUAAGUUUUAUACUCAUUUGCAUUCUCGGAUGAUUAUUAAAUGAAAUUCUUAUUUACCUGAUUAAAUAAAUUCUUGGUUAUAAAAAAGAAAAACAAAAAUACAUCUUACUUUGACGGCUUUGGAUGCUCUGUGCUACUCCUUAUAAGAUUUUGGUCAUACAUCUUGCCUUGUUAUUCUCUCGUAAAAGUAGAGUCCACCGCAGUGGUCUUAGAAAGAGCAUAUUCAUUUUACCAUUUUGGUUCUGUAAAUCAUGUAGUGUUUCUUGAGCUGUCUUCAUGAGUAAACAUAUAUGUUUUUAUUGGUAAUCAGGCUGCAUGCACAAGCGCUGACUCUUGCUGCAUUAGCGGGCGCUGCAGUCGUUGAGUAUUACGACCAUAAAUCAGGGGCAAAAGCAGAAUGUGUUGCCAAGUUCCUCCAACCGCCAGCCCCUCAUCCGCACAAGGAGUGAAUCUGACUUCAGAUGAUGAAUAAAAAGAAACCUGAUUAGGCACAGCUUUAUCUGUUGGGUCAUGCCCCUUAACUUCACAUGGAAGAGUUUUUGGUAAUCAAAUUUCCAGUACUAGAGAGGCUAGAUGAGGCACCUUUCUCUAUUAAUUUUGAUUUUUGUGGGUUAUAGUCGCGAGAUGAAGAAUCAUGAAAAGUGCCCUUCUUAGUAUUUUCUAUCUUUACGAUAAAAUAUCCACAGAUUAAAAAUGUCGAGGGGUAUAUCUUUGUAUCGAGCAUGAAUUGCUAUGUCUGAUAGCCUAUAUGAUUAUUGCGAAUUAAGUUCUUUCUCAUAAUAUAGUUGAAAAUGGUAGUAAUCCUAGUAGAACUUCCUUCGUAUUAAUUGACGAGAUAUAAAUUUUUUUUGUUGGUAUAUGAAGAAAUUUGUCAAGUGGUCCUUCUAUAGAACGACGUUUUAUCACAAGACAUCCAAAAUAGUUGACAAAACUAUAUAAAACAGAAGUUAAAAUGUAAUUAAUCUCAUCAAAAUUUCGUUAGACAACGAGUUCAAUUGACUUUUUUUAUUUAACUAUUUCUAUAAGCUUUACGACAAGGUGGAUAAAGCAUCACGAUAUUAACUGAUAAUGUUGUUUUAACUAGCUCAAAGUUCAGAAGAGUGAGAUUCUUGAUUUCUUUCAUGUCUAUAAUCUUCAAACUUGAGCAUCUUAAUUUCAUCUUUAAUUGAAGAAAGACAAUUAUAUAUUUUCUAAUGUUGGCGAUUCUCU